UGGAAAGUAGGAGGAAAUUGUGGAGGUGGAUAGUUCAUGGGGUAUUGGGGUGAUGGGAAAUGAUGCUGUUGACUAAUAUGAUUUUGUGGAUUGGAACUUGCAUUGUGAUCGCAGAAUUCAACAUGAUUGUGAAAGAUGAAGAGGUGGUGCUGUCCAUGUCUACAAAGGGAGAAGAAAGUUUUUGAAUGAUGGAGAAGUAGAAAUUUGUUUGCUUGUGUGCAUUGAAUGGCACUUGUAUAUAUAGCCUAUUGGCCUAGGGGAAGCAACGGUAAAAUGAAUGUUGCACAGGGUAGAGGAGUAACCGUUGUUGAACUGUCACCUGCUUGUACUGUAGAAUAAUAUUUCUUUAAUGAGUUGGCACCUGCGCAAGUAGAUUCUCUGCUCUCCAUUUUCUCGGCAUCACUGAAAAUUAGCAUCACCUACUGCAGUGGUAGGAGUGAUGCCCAAAUCUUCUCUCCUCUUUUGGCAUCACUCUG
rnacentral:lncRNA from 1 species